CGCGACCCCAGGUCAGGCGGGACUACCCGCUGAGUUUAAGCAUAU
rnacentral:rRNA from 2 species